rnacentral:sRNA from 1 species
UUUCAUUGGGGUUGUUGAUGAUAGGUUAGCUGACUAUCCGUUAUCUUCGCAGGGAAUUGCCAGAUAGCGUAUAAAAGCAAAACACAAAUCUAUCCAUGCAAGCAUUUACCGCUGGUUUAUCCGGCGGUUUUUUUUAUCUGUAAAUCAGGAAAAAGGUACCACGAGCGCGAUUUGGGAAAAAAAUGGCCCCUUGUGCAGCUACGCAACAAGGGGCCGGGUCGGUGCAGGACUAUCUCCGUUCAUCAAUC